UCCCCAAGUCUGGUGGACACAACUCCCAAGC
rnacentral:piRNA from 1 species